rnacentral:rRNA from 1 species
GACGAACGCUGGCGGCGUGCUUAACACAUGCAAGUCGAACGGUAAGGCCCUUCGGGGUACACGAGUGGCGAACGGGUGAGUAACACGUGGGUGAUCUGCCCUGCACUUCGGGAUAAGCCUGGGAAACUGGGUCUAAUAUCGGAUAGGACCAAUGCCUGCAGGGGUGGUGGUGGAAAGCUUGUGCGGUGUGGGAUGGGCCCGCGGCCUAUCAGCUUGUGGGUGGGGUAAUGGCCUACCACGGCGACGACGGGUGGCCGGCCUGAGAGGGUGACCGGACACACUGGGACUGAGAUACGGCCCAGACUCCUACGGGAGGCAGCAGUGGGGAAUAUUGCACAAUGGGCGCAAGCCUGAUGCAGCGACGCCGCGUGAGGGAUGACGGCCUUCGGGUUGUAAACCUCUUUCAGCACCGACGAAGCGCAAGUGACGGUAGGUGCAGAAGAAGGACCGGCCAACUACGUGCCAGCCGCCGCGGUAAAAC